rnacentral:rRNA from 1 species
AAGACCUUGCGCUUUUGGAGCGGCCGAUGUCUGAUUAGCUAGUUGGUGGGGUAAUGGCCUACCAAAGCUUCGAUCAGUAGCUGGUCUGAGAGGACGACCAGCCACACUGGGACUGAGACACGGCCCAGACUCCUACGGGAGGCAGCAGUGGGGAAUUUUGGACAAUGGGCGCAAGCCUGAUCCAGCCAUGCCGCGUGGGUGAAGAAGGCCUUCGGGUUGUAAAGCUCUUUCAGCCGGGAAGAAAAGGCUACGACGAAUAAUCGUAGCUCAUGACGGUACCGGAAGAAGAAGCACCGGCUAACUACGUGCCAGCAGCCGCGGUAAUACGUAGGGUGCGAGCGUUAAUCGGAAUUACUGGGCGUAAAGGGUGCGCAGGCGGUUUUGUAAGUCAGAUGUGAAAUCCCCGGGCUUAACCUGGGAACU